rnacentral:scRNA from 1 species
GAAAAGGGGGCACAGAGAAUUUGUCUUUGCUGAUAAUGGAGUGCAUCUGAAGCCAUUCACUUUAAAACUUUUUUGUUGGCUUUUUUUUUUGUGUGUGUGAAAUGGCUGAUGAUUAUAGCCUUAAACUAGCUCACCUUGGCAGAUUGUGCAUCCAGCAGUCUCUUACAGGUCCAUUGAUUUGAUGUUCCUGUAGUCUGA